AUUUCUUCUUGGCCUUUUGGCUAAGAUCAAGUGUAGUAUCUGUUCUUAUCAGUUUAAUAUCUGAGAUGUCCUCUACCCAAGGACAAUACAUUAAAUGGACUUUUGAAGCAGGGCGGAGGAAUAGGAGCUGCUCCGUGCACACGGGGCAUCAGCCUGGAACUGGAGUACUUCAGGGAACGGUGCGAAGAAA